CUACUGCGACUCGUCCCAGUGCGCCGGGAUUCCUUACAACGGUCAAGGAUACGCAGGUUCCGCGUAGUUUUUCUUUGCCGCCUGCGCCGCUUUCAUGACUUCCCGAAACGCUCGAGACGUUUGAGGGAAGCGCUAACAAACUUUGCUGCACCGACGACAACAACAACAACAACAACAACAACAACAAACAGGAACUAACCAACAGCAAACAUGGGUGGCGGCCAUUUUGUGGCCCCUUUGCAUCGUGCCGGCAAACGACGAUGAGGAGCAUGACGACGACAGCAACAACGAGAACAUACUAACAACAUGGAGAUGAACUAUUGAUGCUUUGUUGCCCAGCAACCCUCAACCCGCUGCUUGCCAAUGCCAACAACAAACCUCGUCUUUAUUUCUAAUUGGUCAUACAGUGAAGCCUCGCCGUCCCGUUCGUGGGUUACAAUUCCAAUCUCUUGACCGUUGUCUCUCGUCAGAGAUGAACCUCAGCCACAAACUGCACGCGCGGCAAUCAAUCGAUGAAUCGACAGACGGCUAAUGGAUGAUCAGAUGAAUCCGCGUCGCGUUUGAUUACGGAUUCAUCGUUUAGAGGUCUUGUUCAAAUCCUCCAAAUUUCGGACUCUCACGUGUACAUUUGAGAGCAGACGUGCUCUUUCAAAACAACAAUCAACACUUUUGCCGAUUUUCUCACAGGGCUUACGGACCAAACCAGACACUAACUAAUCGGAUAGAAAUUCAUU